GCCAGUGUGCUGUAAUGGUUUGAACAUUGGACUACUAAUCUGGAGACCAGGGUUCAAUUCUCUACUUGGCCA